UUCAGUUGACAGUAGUUGUUGGUGGCCGUGGGUUUUGGAGCCCCUGUUGUCUCCCUGCGUCUGCAACUCCUGAGAAGACCGAAGAUUUAGACCGAGCAGCAAGUUCCUAAAGUGUUGAAGCACGAAUGCUAUACAGGACUUUUGAACGCGCUUUCAAGUCCAGUCUGCAGUCCUUUCCCCUAGUCCAGAGCCCCGCUGUCUCUGAAACAGCGCUGUGUACAGCAGUCGGUCAGCGUUUAUGUUUAUAAGCUUGAGCUUCAAAAGGAAAAUUGAAGAGAGUGAGAGGUCAGAGGAGCAGGGAGAGCAGAGCAAAGGCCCGAGGACAGAAGAAUAAAAGCUGGACUGGGUCUGGACAGGUGGACGUGGGAACUUUCCCCAACACCCCAGCACAUUCUCCAGAGCCCUGCAGGACUAAAGGUCUGCGCACAGAGAUUGCACACACAUCUGAAGGACUGCUGUAUAUGCGUGCAAGGGUGUGCAUGUGUGUAUUUUCUCUCUAACAUUAGUCAUCUGGCUGGGACACUCCCAGGGGAGGACCAAGCCCUUGUGAUCUGUCAGCGAGGCUGCUCAGUGCUGUUUGAUAUCUUGUGCAGAGUUGACAGGCCUCUCGUCCCCAGGCCAUUCUUAGUAUUUGCCUUUCCACCCGGCCUUUUCCUGCACACACGGCACUAUAUGAUAUCUGUCUCUUUUCAUCUGAUCAGGCUCUCAUGCCCAAAUACCACAGGGUUACGAGUUGAAUGCGGCAUGUUCGAAAGCCCGCUCCACGUGUCAAUCAGAGCGAGGGCUAGGCCAGGAGACAAUGCCAGAUUAUGAGAGAGAUCAUGAAUUGGCAGAAAUCAGAGAUAAAAAGGGAGAGGGAGGGACUGCAUACCUUGUAUGAGAAAACUACAUGUCUUCUUGUCGUCUUGUAUGAGUCGAUGGUAGACAUGUCAGAAUGUGUAGAUCUCUGUUCUUAGACAUGUGCAGCUAAAAGUACUAAUAAAACUAUCUUCACACCUUU